CCUGCAAGAGCCUGAGAGCUAAAACGUCAACGAAGCGCUGGAGAACAACAUUUCCUGAAAUAGCCUAAAACAAAAAGCUAUAGCUUUCAUUUGACCACUGGACAAAGAUCUAGGGUGGUUAUAAAAGACCCCUCCACUUCUGAUAACCCUGUUUAUUUGGGGAUAAUAACUUUAAUAAUCUUCAUAAAUGACUGCUGUAUAUGAUGACAGUGUGGAUCUUCCGGGUGAAUUUGGCCUACUACCGAAAUCUCUCCACCCUCACAAUGGACACUUCAUUAUGUUACCGCAAUUUUCAACCUGACACAGAAAACAUAAUGUCUGUGAUGCAUGAUCUUAAGGAACACCCUUCUCUCCAACUUGAACUUUGCUGAGAGAUUCCUUCGAAACCAUCCUCUAAAACACAACUCAAACUUGUUGGUUAAAGGAAACUAUUCUUGUGUACAAAUUGGUGAAACUGCAUAUGUGACUUUUACUGUAACAUCAGAAGACAACAAAGUCUUUGUGAAUCUCUGUAUUCGCGACAUGUUUCAUGAAAACCUCACAAAGGAUUCCAUUAAAGCCUGUCACUUUUUCAACCACUCUUGCCAAGAUGAGUUUAAAUCCUGUUUUACACAGGCUCAAGAAGCUGUUCCUAAAGAGGGUCUGACAGGACUACAAGUUAUAUGCAACAGGUUCUCAGUCACCUAAAGCACCAAACCUCACAGUUCAUGCAAAACUGUGGAAACAAACUGUCAGUUAAAGCUUGAGAACAACACUGCUGAGGGUUUGCUGGACAAAAAAGCCUGGCUGCAGAAAGAGAAGCCCGCAUGUCAUGGUUUGAUAGCAUGUCUAGACUAUCUCAUAAAGCAAUACCUUACCACAAGCAUUGCUCCAAGGAUCUGCUAUAGAUUUGUCAUACAUGCGGACAAAGAAAUAAUCAAAAUCACUUCAGGUGGAAACGUUAACAGAGAGUAUGUAUUGCUACAUGAUCAUGAGGGGGUCUCAAUGUUUCCUCCAACAUUGCAAUAGAAGCUAUGACAGCAUUCCAGAAUACUGCGACAUAGUCUGUUUAAAAUAAAUAUAAUCACCGACAUGAUUAAAUGAAUUCAUUAUCUACAUAAUCACAAAUCUUCACAACUAAAUUGAAAGUUUGUUGAAAAUAUUAGCCCUCAAAUAACAAUGCCAUUACCUCUUGAGUCAGUAUAUGCAAUGCGUAUCUUUUGUUUUGUGCUUCUUUUUUAUUUGUGACAAGGAAAUUUUUAAUAGAUUUACAUUUGCAUGCUUUCCUACUUCAUCUGUGUUUGCUGACAAAAAAAAAAUGUAGUACAUUCUAGAUUGUAGUAGAUUGUAAAAAUGUAGUAGAUUCUUUGUAGUAGAUUAUUCUGUACUCAGAUUAUUGUUUAUAAUCUUUAAUAUCAUAAUAAUAGACAAUAUGUAAACAGCUUGAUUCUUUGUUCUUUGUAGUUCUAUAUCCUGCAUGUUUUGCCUUGAAUUUUAUUAAGUGAUGAAGAUCAGUUCAUCAGAUUUUACUGUAUACAGUAAUGUACAACAAAAUAAUCAUUUUAAUAGUUAUAUAAAAUAAGUUACAGUGAAUUUAAAGCAUAAUAAAACAGUAUAAAACAAUUUGGUGUAUGUUUCAAUGACUAAUUGUGUGGAUAAAUAAA